AACCCUCGCUGUGUGUUACAAGUGUCACACGGUACUGCCGAUAUUAAGUCGGAGGAAGGUGGGGAUGACGUCAAGUCAGCAUGACCUUUAUAUCCAGGGCUACACACACGCUACAAUGGGCGGUACAAAGGGCUGCGAACCCGCGAGGGGGAGCGAAUCCCAAAAAGCCGCUCUCAGUUCGGAUUGCAGGCUGCAACUCGCCUGCAUGAAGCCGGAAUCGCUAGUAAUCGCGGAUCAGCAUGUCGCGGUGAAUACCGGUUCCCGGGCUUU
rnacentral:rRNA from 1 species